UACGGUAGGGCGCAAGCGUUGUCCGGAAUUAUUGGGCGUAAAGAGCUCGUAGGCGGUUUGUCGCGUCUGCUGUGAAAACCUGAGGCUCAACCUCGGGCUUGCAGUGGGUACGGGCAGACUAGAGUGCGGUAGGGGUGACUGGAAUUCCUGGUGUAGCGGUGGAAUGCGCAGAUAUCAGGAGGAACACCAGAGGCGAAGGCGGCGAACUGGACAGUAACUGACACU
rnacentral:rRNA from 1 species